AAAAAGUCAGCGAUUAAAGACAACAUCGUCUUGUGUAUGCAAUGCAUUUACUAUUUUAGUGUAUACGUGUAGUCAGUGCCGGACUGGGGCCACCUGUCCACCUGUCCGUGACAGGUGGGCCUAAGCUCAUUAAAAAAAAGUGGGCCUAAGCCUAUAAACAAAAAAGAAAAAAGAGAAAGAAAGGAGAGGGGGGAGAAAAGAAAGAAAGAAGGAGUGGGCAGGACACAGGACUGGAGAAAGAAAAAAUAGGAAAAAAAUGACUGACAAACAACACAAAAAAAGAAGUGUACUAGAAUUCUCAAAUUCAUCUAAUGAUAGUGCUCUUAGGUCAUUCUGUUAUCUAAUUGUACCAGGAAAUCAAAAAUUUGCCUUCUUCUGCUUUGGUCUGAAAUGCUUGGAAAAUGGGUUUGCGGUUGACAAUUUUCAAACCUUUUCUGGGAGAAGAAGCCACCCAGACCCCCCUCGGACGUUUUCGCGCCUUUGGCACGCUCGUGACGCGCCGUCGGCGCGUACUUGUGUGGGUCUUGGUCAAUGACCUGACAGAGUCCAGCAGUGCAUGUAGUUAAGACCAUGCCUUCCACUUUGGAAUGGUGAAUGACUCAUGUCUUAUGUGCCUUACUACUGGAAUGACCCCUGUUAGCCCUGUACUGAAGUCAAAGGGCAUUCCCGAACUUAGGGUACUUCCACUGAACUCAGUGGCAUGUCUGGAAUUUUAUGCUUAUUCUGAUAGGCGACGGCCAAGGUUUGGAUAUCUUGAGAAUUUUCACUUGGUUUCCGGCUCUGGGUACACCAUAUAUUAAACCUUUCGAUAGUUGGAGAUUUCUGCAAUGGUUUUGUGUAAUAUCAUUAAGAAUCGAAUGAUUUUUCAAUGAUCAAUAAAGGAUGGGCAGGGAUGGAUUUAAUUUAUUCUCUAUGACAUGAAUGAUACAUUAAACCAUGUAAAAUAGACAUGCGCAUUCUUUUCUUUGUUUUGUAAUCAAUCGAAUACCCACCAGAAAUAUUAGCCAAUCACAGUGCAGGCUUGUAUAGCGAACACAUAGGUAGCUGAUUCUUUACAGGUGAUCUGAAUUAUGGAACGCCAAACUAACAUAAAAUCAAUUCACUGCCAAUGGGUCCCGUCAAUUAAAUGAAUAUUUGUAAAUUUGUCGUUCCAUACAGCUAGAGACGCCGAUUCGAACAACCCAGUCGCCUGGUAACCGUGGUGAGUACUUUUCAGAUACAAACUUAAGAAAGCAAACAUCCCCCAACCGUCCUUCAAUUUGAAAUUGAGCGGCCAAGUGAAAGCAUCUAUUCACAUUAGCCAAAUAUAGGAUACGUCUCUCAUCUCAAACAGACAUAUCUCCUGUUAUCGGUCGGACGAUGGCGGCGUGGUAGUUCUUCUUUGGAUUGCACUAAAGGAGACAAGAAGUUUAUGGUAUCAUAGAGAGGUCCACACACGUUAUUAUUUAUCUUAUACUGGGUCUGUCUUUAUAUUCUGGCUGGUUGAUGUGUAUAAGCUUGGCUUGUGCACCAGAUUCCUUUGUAAAUAUCAUGUGAAGUUUUCCAUGAUGUAUUAAUAGGUUUUUUUUGGUUGAAAGUUGUAGACAUGGGGAGUAAUUAAAUUGGGAUAUAUUAAUAUGGCAUCAAUCAACUAAUCCCACAUCUCCUUUAGGCAACUAAUAUUUUCUUUUUGGGGUUCUUCUUUUGUUUGUUUUUUUUUGCAUGUUUUUCACUGCAUUUGCUUAAGUAAGGGGUGCUAUAUUUAAUAUAUUCUGAUAUUUGGUUUAUCUUAGAUUUUUAAUGCCCUUAAUGUAUAUUGCAAAUUUCUCAUGAGAGUCCAGUAAAGAUAAUCUUGUAUAACGUGUUUCUAUGAUAAACUUAGAUGUAUUGUUGAUAGUGGGGUCUAGAGAGUUUACGGAUACAGGAUCGUGGGGAUAUGUUUGUAAGGGACGUAUGAAGACGGUGAUAGUUGUGGAUGAGCAUGACACACAGCAUAUUAUACAUGGAGGUAUUAUUGUACAGACAAUUGUUAUGCAAUCGAUGAGGACCACAACAAUGUUAAGACGCCGAAUGAUCAAUAUGACGAUUACCACUGGUAUAGGAGAACAGACAGGCUGUGAUUUGGAUGGAUGUCAAGCGGCAGUUUAUGGUACCGGGAACUCGACUGGGAAAUGGAAGUUGCAUAGGGAAAUUCUAGAUUGGCAAUAACAGGUUUAUGUUUUUUCUGUAUGUAUUGUAUAUAUACUAUUCAAAAAAAGUAGGGGAUAUUUGAUUUUUAAGU